GACGAACGCUGGCGGCGUGCUUAACACAUGCAAGUCGAACGGAAAGGCCUCUUUCGGGGGGUACUCGAGUGGCGAACGGGUGAGUAACACGUGAGUAACCUGCCCUUGACUUUGGGAUAACUUCAGGAAACUGGGGCUAAUACCGGAUAGGAGCUCCUGCUGCAUGGUGGGGGUUGGAAAGUUUCGGCGGUUGGGGAUGGACUCGCGGCUUAUCAGCUUGUUGGUGGGGUAGUGGCUUACCAAGGCUUUGACGGGUAGCCGGCCUGAGAGGGUGACCGGCCACAUUGGGACUGAGAUACGGCCCAGACUCCUACGGGAGGCAGCGGUGGGGAAUAUUGCACAAUGGGUGGAAGCCUGAUGCAGCAACGCCGUGUGCGGGAUGACGGCCUUCGGGUUGUAAACCGCUUUCGCUCAUGACGAAGCUUUGCGUGACGGUAGUGGGUAAAGAAGCACCGGCUAACUACGUG
rnacentral:rRNA from 1 species